rnacentral:rRNA from 1 species
AUUGAACGCUGGCGGCAUGCUUUACACAUGCAAGUCGAACGGUAACAGGGUGCUUGCAGCGAUGACGAGUGGUGAACGGGUGAGUAAUGCGUCGGAACGUGCCGAGUAGUGGGGGAUAACGCAGCGAAAGUUGUGCUAAUACCGCAUACGUACCGAGGGAGAAAGUGGGGGAACUUUGGGCCUAACGAUAUUAGAGCGGGCGACGUCGGAUUAGCUAGUAGGUGAGGGAAAGGCUCACCAAGGCGACGAUCAGUAGCGGGUCUGAGAGGAUGAUCCGCCACACUGGGACUGAGACACUGCCCAGACUCCUACGGGAGGCAGCAGUGGGGAAUUUUGGACAAUGGGCGAAAGCCUGAUCCAGCCAUGCCGCGUGUCUGAAGAAGGCCUUCGGGUUGUAAAGGACUUUUGUCAGGGAGGAAAACCCUAGUGCUAAUAACACUGGUGGAUGACAGUACCUGAAGAAUAAGCACCGGCUAACUACGUGCCAGCAGCCGCAGUAA